ensembl:misc_RNA Metazoa_SRP Metazoan signal recognition particle RNA
GCCAUGCACGGUGGCAUGUGCCUGUAAUCCCAGCUACUCGGGAGGCUGAGGUGGGAGGAUCGCUUGAGCCCAGGAGUUCUGGGCUGUAGUGAGCUAUGCCGAUCAGAUGUCUGCACUAACUUCAGCAUCAAUAUGGUGACCUCCCAGGAGCAGGGUACCACCAGGUUGCCUAAGGAGGAGUGAACCGGCCCAGGUCAAAAACGGAGCAGGUCAAAACUCCCGUGCUGCCGGGCACGGUGGCUCACGCCUGUAAUCCCAGCACUUUGGGAGGCCGAGGCGGGUGGAUCACGAGGUCAAGAGAUCGAGAGCAUCCUGGUCAACAUGGUGAAACCCCGUCUCU